GACGUCCUAUACCUAUCCUGAUCGCUGCAUUUACUGUGCUGUCCCUUAGCUGCUGACUGCACUGAUCUGAAGUGACUUCACUGAACCGGAGGGUGGGAUAUGGACCAGCCAGUCACUUUAGUAGAGAGCCCUCAUUUCAGGCAGCUUCAAAUGCCUCAUCAUUUCUGAACGAGUUUCAGCUCCAGGAGAUUUCAGUGCUGGAGGAAUUGCAAUAAGCUAUGAAACUUUAUCCCUUCUCAAGACUCUUCCAAGUCACUGGGGAACUCUGGCUUCCACGGCAUGGACAGCCUGGUCCGAGUGUGCAAAGCUGUGGCUUCCCCUCCUGUGGAUGCCUUCUGAACAGCAGAUCUGACUUCCUCCUCAAACCAAGGCAUCCUGAAAACAUCCAAGCAGAGGAAGCAUUUUUUCACCAUGACAUGGGAAAGGGCCAUAGAGAUCCAAAUGGAAACGGACAUUUCAUGCUUUGA
rnacentral:lncRNA from 1 species